CGUGUGAGUAACACGUGGAUAACCUACCUAUAAGACUGGGAUAACUUCGGGAAACCGGAGCUAAUACCGGAUAAUAUUUUGAACCGCAUGGUUCAAAAGUGAAAGACGGUCUUGCUGUCACUUAUAGAUGGAUCCGCGCUGCAUUAGCUAGUUGGUAAGGUAAUGGCUUACCAAGGCAACGAUGCAUAGCCGACCUGAGAGGGUGAUCGGCCACACUGGAACUGAGACACGGUCCAG
rnacentral:rRNA from 1 species